rnacentral:rRNA from 1 species
UACGUAGGGGGCAAGCGUUGUCCGGAUUUACUGGGCGUAAAGAGCGUGUAGGCGGCCAAGCAGGUCCGUUGUGAAAACUGGAGGCUUAACCUCCAGACGUCGACGGAAACCGCGUGGCUAGAGUCCGGAAGAGGAGAGUGGAAUUCCUGGUGUAGCGGUGAAAUGCGCAGAUAUCAGGAAGAACACCAGUGGCGAAGGCGAGUCCCUGGACAAACCCUGACACUGAGGCACGAAAGCCAAGGGAGCAAACAGG